CGCGCCUAGAGCCCGUGCUCUACAAGAGAAGCCACGGCAACGAGAAGCCCAUGCACCACAACGAAGAGUAGACCCGGCUCACCGCAACUAGAGAAGUCCCGCGCGUGGCAAAAAAGACCCAACCAACCAAAAGUAUGCAUGAAGAAGAACACAGCAUCCCUUUUGUGGUAUGUUCCUGCCAAAUAUGCAAAAACAAAAAACAACAAACUUCCCUUGUCAAAGAGUGAGACCCAUGUGCAGUCACCGGCAUGCUGAAAAGAAGCCUGCUCCACAGCUCUGGGGUUGUGUGAAUGCCAAGUAAACUCAGCUCCUCCCCAGUUUGCAAACUGCUCUUUCAAGAAAAUUCUGCCCAACUUAGACUGCAGAAACUAAACUUGCCUGAAAACUUUUACUCUUAAGGAGCAAGGACUGUGUAACUUACUAAGUGCCUAAGGCCAAAGUGUCAUUUUGCAUAUGAGGGAGUGCUGAGUUUGCUGUCAGCCAAGCCUUCUGCCUCCCAGGAGCCCCUGCUAGAGUUAAUUCACGUCCAGCAGUUGGGGAAGUCUUCAGAAUGUUAAAGACUGUCAGCUGCAACUUGGAGAGUACCAAAUAUGCCUGCCAGAUUUGUGAGAAUGUGGCCGAGCCAAUGAGAUAGAAGGUGCAGAUCUUAAAUCUACUGGAGUUGGACACGUCAGAAAUGGAUAAUAAGUACUACAGAUCCUCACACAAGAAUUAGGAUUUUUCCAGACACUUAGCACCUAAGUAAUAUUUGUAUAUAUGUUGUGGAAGAUGCUGCUUGAAGGAAUGAUAGAGGCUGAGAGAGUUUGAAAUAUUUAUCCUCUGACUUGCCAAACCAUAAAAAUGCAACAAAAUGUACUGAGUAUCACAAAUGAGAAAACUGCGGUUGUUAAAGAAGCAGAGGGAC